UCCAGGAUGGCCGAGAGGUUAUGGCAUCAGACUUCCGAUCUGAAUCUCACAUUCGUGAGCGCAGGUUCGAUUCCUGCUUCUGGAC
rnacentral:tRNA from 1 species